rnacentral:rRNA from 1 species
UACGAAGGGGGCAAGCGUUGUUCGGAAUUACUGGGCGUAAAGGGCGCGUAGGCGGCUUAUCAAGUCAGGCGUGAAAUUCCCGGGCUCAACCUGGGGGCUGCGCUUGAUACUGAUGAGCUUGAAUGCGGGAGAGGAUAGUGGAAUUCCCAGUGUAGAGGUGAAAUUCGUAGAUAUUGGGAAGAACACCGGUGGCGAAGGCGGCUACCUGGACGGUCACUGACGCUGAGACGCGAAAGCGUGGGGAGCAAACAGG